rnacentral:rRNA from 1 species
AUGAAAGACGUAGUAACUUGCGAUAAGCCCAGAUUAGGUAGUAACAACCAUUUGAGUCUGGGAUUUCUGAAUGGGGAAACCCACGUGCAUAAGCACGUAUCCUUACCUGAAUACAUAGGGUAAGGAGGCGAACCGGGGGAACUGAAACAUCUAAGUACCCCGAGGAAAAGAAAUCAACCGAGAUUCCGAAAGUAGCGGCGAGCGAAAUUGGACUAGCCCUUAAGCUUUACACGCGUUAGACGAACGGUCUGGAAAGUCCGACGAUACAGGGUGAUAGUCCCGUAGUUGACGACGUGUGUUCAGUGAAAUCGAGUAGGGCGGGACACGUGAUAUCCUGUCUGAAUAUGGGGGGACCAUCCUCCAAGGCUAAAUACUACUGACUGACCGAUAGUGAACCAGUACCGUGAGGGAAAGGCGAAAAGAACCCCUGUGAGGGGAGUGAAAUAGAACCUGAAACCGUGUACGUACAAGCAGUAGGAGCAGGCUUUGUCCUGUGACUGCGUACCUUUUGUAUAAUGGGUCAGCGACUUAUAUUCAGUGGCAAGGUUAACCAUCUAGGGGAGCCGUAGGGAAACCGAGUCUUAACUGGGCGUUCAGUCUCUGGAUAUAGACCCGAAACCAGGUGAUCUAGCCAUGGGCAGGUUGAAGGUUGAGUAACAUCAACUGGAGGACCGAACCGACUAAUGUUGAAAAAUUAGCGGAUGACUUGUGGCUAGGGGUGAAAGGCCAAUCAAACCUGGAGAUAGCUGGUUCUCCCCGAAAGCUAUUUAGGUAGCGCCUCGGACGAAUACUACUGGGGGUAGAGCACUGUUAAGGCUAGGGGGUCAUCCCGACUUACCAACCCUUUGCAAACUCCGAAUACCAGUAAGUACUAUCCGGGAGACACACGGCGGGUGCUAACGUCCGUCGUGGAGAGGGAAACAACCCAGACCGCCAGCUAAGGUCCCAAAUUACUACUAAGUGGGAAACGAUGUGGGAAGGCUCAGACAGCCAGGAUGUUGGCUUAGAAGCAGCCAUCAUUUAAAGAAAGCGUAAUAGCUCACUGGUCGAGUCGGCCUGCGCGGAAGAUGUAACGGGGCUAAGUAGUAAACCGAAGCUGCGGCAAUAUACUUUUGUAUAUUGGGUAGGGGAGCGUUCUGUAAGCGGUUGAAGGUGUGUGGUAACGCAUGCUGGACGUAUCAGAAGUGCGAAUGCUGACAUGAGUAACGAUAAAGGGGGUGAAAAACCUCCUCGCCGGAAGACCAAGGGUUCCUGUCCAACGUUAAUCGGGGCAGGGUAAGUCGACCCCUAAGGCGAGGCCGAAAGGCGUAGUCGAUGGGAAACGGGUUAAUAUUCCCGUACUUCUUACAAUUGCGAUGGGGGGACGGAGAAGGCUAGGUGGGCCUGGCGACGGUUGUCCAGGUUCAAGUGCGUAGGCUUAAGAGUUAGGUAAAUCCGGCUCUUUUUAAGGCUGAGACACGACGUCGAGCACCUACGGGUGUGAAGUCAUUGAUGCCAUGCUUCCAGGAAAAGCCUCUAAGCUUCAGAUUGUAAGGAAUCGUACCCCAAACCGACACAGGUGGUCGGGUAGAGAAUACCAAGGCGCUUGAGAGAACUCGGGUGAAGGAACUAGGCAAAAUGGUACCGUAACUUCGGGAGAAGGUACGCUCUCGACGGUGAAGUCCCUCGCGGAUGGAGCUAUUGAGAGUCGCAGAUACCAGGUGGCUGCAACUGUUUAUUAAAAACACAGCACUGUGCAAAAUCGUAAGAUGACGUAUACGGUGUGACGCCUGCCCGGUGCCGGAAGGUUAAUUGAUGGGGUUAGACUUCGGUCGAAGCUCUUGAUCGAAGCCCCGGUAAACGGCGGCCGUAACUAUAACGGUCCUAAGGUAGCGAAAUUCCUUGUCGGGUAAGUUCCGACCUGCACGAAUGGCGUAAUGAUGGCCACGCUGUCUCCACCCGAGACUCAGUGAAAUUGAAAUCGCUGUGAAGAUGCAGUGUACCCGCGGCUAGACGGAAAGACCCCGUGAACCUUUACUACAGCUUGGCACUGAACAUUGACCCUACAUGUGUAGGAUAGGUGGGAGGCUUUGAAGCACGUACGCCAGUAUGUGUGGAGCCGUCCUUGAAAUACCACCCUUGUAGUGUUGAUGUUCUAACGUCGACCCCUAAUCGGGGUUGCGGACAGUGCCUGGUGGGUAGUUUGACUGGGGCGGUCUCCUCCCAAAGAGUAACGGAGGAGCACGAAGGUGGGCUAAUCACGGUUGGACAUCGUGAGGUUAGUGCAAUGGCAUAAGCCCGCUUGACUGCGAGAAUGACAAUUCGAGCAGGUGCGAAAGCAGGUCAUAGUGAUCCGGUGGUUCUGAAUGGAAGGGCCAUCGCUCAACGGAUAAAAGGUACUCCGGGGAUAACAGGCUGAUACCGCCCAAGAGUUCAUAUCGACGGCGGUGUUUGGCACCUCGAUGUCGGCUCAUCACAUCCUGGGGCUGAAGUCGGUCCCAAGGGUAUGGCUGUUCGCCAUUUAAAGUGGUACGCGAGCUGGGUUUAGAACGUCGUGAGACAGUUCGGUCCCUAUCUGCCGUGGGCGUUGGAAGAUUGAAGGGGGCUGCUCCUAGUACGAGAGGACCGGAGUGGACGAACCUCUGGUGUUCGGGUUGUGUCGCCAGACGCAUUGCCCGGUAGCUAAGUUCGGAAUCGAUAACCGCUGAAAGCAUCUAAGCGGGAAGCGAGCCCUGAGAUGAGUCUUCCCUGAUACUUUAAGUAUCCUAAAGGGUUGUCGGAGACUACGACGUUGAUAGGUCAGGUGUGUAAGUGCUGUGAGGCAUUGAGCUAACUGAUACUAAUUGCCCGUGAGGCUUAACCAU